CAGAAACAGAAACAGACUGGAGUCAGCGGCGGCUGGAGAAGAGAGCGACAGGAAAUACCUGCUUUAGGGGGAAGCCACCUGACCAAGAGGAAAGGGAGAUGAAGUUCUGGCUCCUUUCCUUCUACCCAACCAAUGAUGCUCCUUUCAGUGGAUCCUGCCCAUUCUGCGACAGUAUGCCAUCACCUCGGGCUGUAUGGACAGCAGGGGACAGAACACUGACUCCAAAGCUUGUGGAGCAGGGAACAUUGCCUUCCACGGGAAACGCUCCUCUGACCACUGAGACCAGUUGGCAUCAGCACGGUAUGCAGAGAAUACAUUGUGGGUGGACAUGGGCCUGGAGGGGUUGGGAAGACAAGACAAAGAUGGCUCAUAUGGGAGAAGAGCCAUAGCACUGGGACCCAGACCUCAGCUUCUCCCAUUCCUGGCUAAGACUUUGGACUAGAAUGGAGUCAACCUUUCUGUCAACUCAAGCUGACAAGAGAAUCCCCACCCCCGGUGCAGCCAUGAGGACUCUGCAAGGACUUGUGUGCAUAGCAUAUAUAUUGUGUCUGGUAUUGGCAAAGUCUCUGAAGUGAUGGCAAAAAGUCAGGAAGAAUGGGGCUAGAGAGAUAGCUCAGCCAUUAAGAGCACGUGUUGCUCCUACAGAGGACCGCUGUUCUGUUCCCAGCCUCUACAUGGUGGCCCACAACCAGCCAUAGCUUCAUUUACAUGGAAUCUGAUGCCUUCUUCUUGCCUCCACAGGCACCAGGCAUACACAUACACACAUAUUCAGGCAAAACACCCAGAAAACAAAGUAAAACAAAUGGAUCUCAAUCACCACGAGCCAGGAAAAGGGAAGUAGGCCAGCUCGUCCUUUAGUCUUUCUCGAAGGUUUAGGACCUUUGGGUUCCAUUAGGAAAUUGGGUUUCUUUAGUCACUUGGCUCAUGUAACAAUGAUCAGGGCUUCUGAGACUGUUUGGUUUUCUGUGUUUUUCUUAAAAUAUGUUCAACUCUCUCUUCAAUCAGACUUGAAAGCAAACUCAGUGUAGCGCGGAAGCAGGGAGGGCAGAAGAGGGCUUUAGCGCAACACAGACCUGGGGUCAGGCUCAGCCCCCAGCUCCACCUGGUUGCUAUGUGAUCCUGCUGGGCAGAAUCCUUUGAAGUGCUGCUUUCUCAGGGAUAAAAACAAGGCUAGCAGCAUCCAUCCGUGGCUUUGAGAGGAUAAAGGAGAAAUAUAAGUGAAGUACCAGGAGUACCUCAAUGUUCCUCCUCCUCUGGAUGGAUCAAAAGAAAGGUGAGCCUAGAGACACAGAGAGGCCAUAGGUAAUGUGGGAUUACUGGGUCCAAUUCAAUUUAGCAUGGAUUGAAUUUGAACUCAAAACUUUAGAAAAUAUUUCCCAGGGGCACAUAUUCAGAACAUGUGUGCCCCCUCUUGUCCACAUGCUUUGCAACAUUUCAAUGCUUUACUCAGUUGGUAGAGUGAUUAUGGCAAAGCCACCAAGAGUAUAUGAUGACCAUUCCUCUGAGGCACCUGGAGGCCAUUGAAUGUGAGGGUCUUCUGAAGCUGGUCCAGCCCCGGAGUCCUGGCUGCUGGUUUGCAUCCAUUGGACCUGCUGUAGCUCAAGCUGUAGCAAGAAAUGACUUGCCUACAACACAAAGUUUAACUAUUGACCAUCAUAAACCUGACCAGCAAGAAAGAGAAGACCUUAAACAGAGUCAUCGAAGCCCGGCCCUAGAGCCAGACUAGACCUGAGACUUCUCUGUGGAUUUGAGGACUGGGAUCUUGACUUUGGCAAUCAAAAAAAGCUGUAAGAAAAACGCUGCCUCUGAAUGUGAGCAGCCCUAGAAACAUUCAGGCUUUUGUUCAGACACACAGAGCCCAGACUCUCGAAAUCCUGGAACUGAAGGA